GUAGUACUUCCUCCAUCCGGAAAUAUUUGUCGUAGAAAUGGAUAUAAAUGGAUGUAUCUAGAACUAAAAUAUAUCUUUGAUACAUCCAUUCCUCGGACAAGUAUUUUCGGACGGAGGGAGUAUAAU
rfam:Triticum aestivum genome assembly, contig: Triticum_aestivum_CS42_TGACv1_scaffold_195020_3AL